AGCGAACGCUGGCGGCAUGCCUAACACAUGCAAGUCGCACGGGGGGGCUUCGGCCUCCCAGUGGCGGACGGGUGAGGAACGCGUAGGGACCUGUCGAGGGGUGGGGGAUAACCGCGGGAAACUGCGGCUAAUACCGCAUGACGCCGCGGCGUGACAGCCGGGGCCAAAGGCGAAAGCCGCCCGCCGAGGGGCCUGCGUCCGAUUAGCUGGUUGGCGGGGUAGCGGCCCACCAAGGCGUCGAUCGGUAGCUGGUCUGAGAGGGUGAUCAGCCACACCGGGACUGAGACACGGCCCGGACUCCUACGGGAAGCAGCAGUGGGGAAUAUUGGACAAUGGGCGCAAGCCUGAUCCAGCAAUGCCGCGUGGGUGAAGAAGGUCUUCGGAUUGUAAAGCCCUUUCGGCGGGGACGAUGGUGACGGCACCCGCAGAAGAAGCCCCGGCUAACUUCGUG
rnacentral:rRNA from 1 species